CUAAAUUGGUUCUUACAAAUAAGAAUUCCUUUUUUUCUCUACUUUAGUCUUAUGGCUUAUAAACUUUUUCUGAAAGCUAUCACAAAGGACCUCUCUCAGUAGGAAUGUUUAGGAAGCCUGUUUUCAUAGGAUGCAGAGGGUUGAUCUACUGACUUAAAGAUAUGGAUACCUUUGGUAAUGAGUAGCUCAAUAUUUAAGACAGUUGGCUUAAAAGUAUGAAACCAGAUGGUUAGAAAAAUUUCAUGAUAUUAAGUUAAAUUUUCCUCCCUCACUCUUUCUACCCCCUGCAUUAAGUCUUUAUGUAUGAAAAUGGUAAAUAAUGCAAACAGCUGACCUUCCCUAAUAUGCAGGAAAACAUGUAGUGAAAAUAUAAUUACCAUAAAGUGUGAUACAUUUUAUGAGAAAGUGCUCAUAUGAAGAGAACAUAUAACAGGGAUCAUAAUUUAGUUUAAGGGCUUAGAAGAGAAUCUUCCCUAAAAGAUUAAUUUGAGAAAGUGAUUUUUCAAUGAAAUCUCAAAGAAUAUUUAGGAGUUACACCAUCAGAAGGAGAGCAAGCUGGGAAGAAAAUGUGCUCCUGGAAGAGACAGCAGGUAAAAAGUAGCUUUUCAUUUGUUAUUUGAUUUUAUUUUAAAAAUUAAUUUAUAUUUUAUUUUAUAUUUUGCGACAGGGUCUCACUCUUGUCUGGGCUUGAGUAUGGUGGCGUGAUCAUAGCUCUUUGUAGCCUCAGCCUCCCGUGCUCAAGAGAUCUUCCUGCCUCAGCCUCUCGAGCAGUUGGAACUACAGGUGUGUACCCACCAC
rnacentral:lncRNA from 1 species